rnacentral:rRNA from 1 species
UACGUAGGGUGCAAGCGUUAAUCGGAAUUACUGGGCGUAAAGCGUGCGCAGGCGGUUAUGCAAGACAGAUGUGAAAUCCCCGGGCUCAACCUGGGAACUGCAUCUGUGACUGCAUAGCUAGAGUACGGUAGAGGGGGAUGGAAUUCCGCGUGUAGCAGUGAAAUGCGUAGAGAUGUGGAGGAACACCGAUGGCGAAGGCAGCCCCCCUGGGUCAAGAUUGACGCUCAUGCACGAAAGCGUGGGGAGCAAACAGG